AAGGCAUAGAAAUCAAUUAUGCGUUAGUUUAAGGUUGUCGUUUAAGGAGUGAUCGCUUGGAAAUCGUUUGCGAGGGAAGUGGCAAGACUGAAAGUCAUAGGAUAAAUGACAUACGUAUAUGAAGAAGACGUUAAGGGUUUAAAAAAAUCAAUCAAAGAAACGGGAAUUUCACAACACAUUAACUUUUUCUUUCCUCUUUUUUCUCCCAUGUAACUGCCUCAAAAAAUUUCGUCUGAUCUUUCUGAAUCUUGCUUGAUUUGGUCCUUUUAGGUCAAAUCAAGUAAGAUCCAUAUGUCUAUACUGUUAAUAUGUACCUAGUCAUGAUAAAUAAUUUUUUUAUUUAUUUGGUUUUGUUUUCUCCGUGAAUAAUCGACCGGUGGUAGCGCCUCUUCUGGAUCUAUUUGUUAGGUCUUCUUGUUGGUGAUUUUUUGGGGUUUGUUGGAUCGAUUUUUCAUUUUUCAGGUACUGGGGGUGGUGUAUGUUGUGAUGGGUUCUUGUUUUCAAGUUUUCUCCUCAAUUGAUCUGUCGACGGUGGUGACUUCAGGUUGUUGUGUGGUGGCGCUGCUGGUGUUUCUUCCCAGAGAUGGUUGAAGUGGUGGCUAGUUUGGUGGUAUGAAAUUAUGCUUGGGAUUAGUUUUUGUUACUGGGAUGUGUGUGUGCCUGGUUUGUUUCUAGUUUUGCUUGUCUCGUUUGUUUGUUUCUCUAACAUGUUUGGAAAGGUUUGUUGUUUAGGACUUUAAAUCUGAUUCCUUUAAGUGAUUGGUGUUUGGUGUAUCAGUUUAUCCUCUUGUAUCGGUGUUUCACCAUGUAACUCUCAGUUUCCCUUAUUGGUAUGCCCUAGGGAAUUCAAUUGUUAUUUACUAGGGGGUACUGGUUCAUUGGUCAUUGGUGUUGGGUCAGUCGUCCUGUGGGUUGAUGUAUUUGAUGCUUCUUUCUAAUUUGCUCUUUGUGCUCCAUCUAAUA